rnacentral:rRNA from 1 species
GUCCACUGAACCUUAUCAUUUAGAGGAAGGAGAAGUCGUAACAAGGUUUCCGUAGGUGAACCUGCGGAAGGAUCAUUGACACACGUCCGUGCAAACCGUUGAACCGUUUCCUUGUCCCCUGAGGGGCCACACCUGGAGGUGUGGCUGCUCGCGCCAUGGCUCCCCUAAACUCGGUUACCUUGCGAUGCACCAAGGGGUGGCGUCGGGCGGGGCUCCUUGCCGGUGCCGUCCACACGCUCGGGUGCGCGUGGAUUGGGCAAGUGUUCCCCUCCUCCCGUGCCUCUCGGGGCUCGGGUGCCAUUUGCAUUGCGUUUCGGGAACCUUAUGUGUCUUGGAUGGUGAGCGACUCUGGAUUGGGGGGGUCUUCCCGGCCGCCCCGCACCGGAUAGCGAAAUGAUGGAUAGUACCACUCUCAGCAACGGAUAUCUUGGCUCUUGCCACGAUGAAGAACGCAGCGAAAUGCGAUACGUGAUGUGAAUUGCAGAACUCCGUGAAUCAUUGAAUCUUUGAACGCAACUUGCGCCCGGGGCUUGUCCGAGGGCAUGUCUGGCUGAGCGUCUAAUCGUCCCUCUCGCUCGCACAGAAUGCGAAGCGCAAAUUGGCCGUCCAUGGCAAGCACGUGGUCGGCUGGAGUGCAUAGGGAGGACGCCGCACUCUAAAUGCGUCGCGUGACUGGCGGGGUUGGUUCGGGUUAUCGUUUGCUUCCGGCUGCGGCUGGUCCUAGGCGGUUCCCCCCCACCUGCCAACAUGUUGCUCGUCGCUAAGGUGUCGGCUGGUUCCCUUGUGUGGCCACUACCCAAGAGACCUCAGAUCAGGCAAGGCUACCCGCUGAGUUUAAGCAUAUCAAUAAGCGGAGGA